UGGGGAAUCUUGGACAAUGGGCGCAAGCCUGAUCCAGCCAUGCCGCGUGAGUGAUGAAGGCCUUAGGGUCGUAAAGCUCUUUCGCCAGGGAUGAUAAUGACAGUACCUGGUAAAGAAACCCCGGCUAACUCCGUGCCAGCAGCCGCGGUAAUACGGAGGGGGUUAGCGUUGUUCGGAAUUACUGGGCGUAAAGCGCACGUAGGCGGAUCAGAAAGUUGGGGGUGAAAUCCCGGGGCUCAACCCCGGAACUGCCUCCAAAACUCCUGGUCUAGAGUUCGAGAGAGGUGAGUGGAAUUCCGAGUGUAGAGGUGAAAUUCGUAGAUAUUCGGAGGAACACCAGUGGCGAAGGCGGCUCACUGGCUCGAUACUGACGCUGAGGUGCGAAAGUGUGGGGAGCAAACAGG
rnacentral:rRNA from 1 species